rnacentral:rRNA from 1 species
CCUACGGGAGGCAGCAGUAAGGAAUAUUGGACAAUGCUCGCAAGAGUGAUCCAGCCAUGCCGCGUGCAGGAAGAAUGCCCUAUGGGUAGUAAACUGCUUUUGAACUAGAGAAAAUCCCAGUACGUGUACUGGGCUGAUAGUAUAGUUAGAAUAAGCAUCGGCUAACUUCGUGCCAGCAGCCGCGGUAAGACGAAGGAUGCAAGCGUUAUCCGGAUUCAUUGGGUUUAAAGGGAGCGUAGGUGGACUGAUAAGUCAGUGGUGAAAUCUCCGAGCUUAACUCGGAAAUUGCCAUUGAUACUGUUGGUCUUGAGUACAGUUGCUGUGGGCGGAAUAUGACAUGUAGUGGUGAAAUACAUAGAGAUGUCAUAGAACACCGAUUGCGAAGGCAGCUCACAAAGCUGUAACUGACACUGAGGCUCGAAAGUGCGGGGAUCAAACAGGAUUAGAUACCCUGGUAGUCCGCACCGUAACGAUGAUUACUCGCUGCUAGGGGGCAACCUUUAGUGGCUUAGCGAAGCGAUAAGUAAUCCCACCGNGGAGGUACGCCGGCGACGGAGAACGACGAAGAAGUUAGACGGCGNGAGGACGNGCGACGGACGACGACGAGGGAGGAGG